AGACUGGUUAAUGAUAACAAUGCAUCGUAAAACCGUCAGAAGGAAAGAAUGUGUUGUGGGCCAAUUUUUUUGGUGUGUGGCAGUUUUAAGUUAUUAGUUUUCAAAAUCAGU
rnacentral:miRNA from 14 species